rnacentral:rRNA from 1 species
GACGAACGCUGGCGGCGUGCUUAACACAUGCAAGUCGAACGGUGAAGCGCCUUCCUUUUUGGUGGGUGUGGAUGAGUGGCGAACGGGUGAGUAACACGUGAGUAACCUGCCCCCUUCUUCUGGAUAACCGCAUGAAAGUGUGGCUAAUACGGGAUAUUCUGGGUCUGUCGCAUGAUGGGUCUGGGAAAGAUAUUGUUUCGGUGGGGGAUGGGCUCGCGGCCUAUCAGCUUGUUGGUGGGGUGAUGGCCUACCAAGGCGGUGACGGGUAGCCGGCCUGAGAGGGGGGAGGGUGACACGGGGAAUGGGAAACGGCCCAGACCCCUAGGGGGGGGAGGAGGGGGGAAAUUGGCACAAGGGGCGAAAGCCGGAUGCAGCGACGCCGGGGGAGGGGGGGAGGCUUUGGGGUUGUGAACCUUUUUCGCAAGUGAAGCAGGCCUGCCUCGUUUGGGGGUGGGUUGACGGUAGCUGGAAAAGAAGCCCCGGCUAAUUACGU